rnacentral:rRNA from 1 species
GGUUAAGCGACUAAGCGUACACGGUGGAUGCCCUGGCAGUCAGAGGCGAUGAAGGACGUGCUAAUCUGCGAUAAGCGUCGGUAAGGUGAUAUGAACCGUUAUAACCGGCGAUUUCCGAAUGGGGAAACCCAGUGUGUUUCGACACACUAUCAUUAACUGAAUCCAUAGGUUAAUGAGGCGAACCGGGGGAACUGAAACAUCUAAGUACCCCGAGGAAAAGAAAUCAACCGAGAUUCCCCCAGUAGCGGCGAGCGAACGGGGAGCAGCCCAGAGCCUGAAUCAGUGUGUGUGUUAGUGGAAGCGUCUGGAAAGGCGCGCGAUACAGGGUGACAGCCCCGUACACAAAAAUGCACAUGCUGUGAGCUCGAUGAGUAGGGCGGGACACGUGGUAUCCUGUCUGAAUAUGGGGGGACCAUCCUCCAAGGCUAAAUACUCCUGACUGACCGAUAGUGAACCAGUACCGUGAGGGAAAGGCGAAAAGAACCCCGGCGAGGGGAGUGAAAAAGAACCUGAAACCGUGUACGUACAAGCAGUGGGAGCACAGAGCAAUCUGUGUGACUGCGUACCUUUUGUAUAAUGGGUCAGCGACUUAUAUUCUGUAGCAAGGUUAACCGAAUAGGGGAGCCGAAGGGAAACCGAGUCUUAACUGGGCGUUAAGUUGCAGGGUAUAGACCCGAAACCCGGUGAUCUAGCCAUGGGCAGGUUGAAGGUUGGGUAACACUAACUGGAGGACCGAACCGACUAAUGUUGAAAAAUUAGCGGAUGACUUGUGGCUGGGGGUGAAAGGCCAAUCAAACCGGGAGAUAGCUGGUUCUCCCCGAAAGCUAUUUAGGUAGCGCCUCGUGAAUUCAUCUCCGGGGGUAGAGCACUGUUUCGGCAAGGGGGUCAUCCCGACUUACCAACCCGAUGCAAACUGCGAAUACCGGAGAAUGUUAUCACGGGAGACACACGGCGGGUGCUAACGUCCGUCGUGAAGAGGGAAACAACCCAGACCGCCAGCUAAGGUCCCAAAGUCAUGGUUAAGUGGGAAACGAUGUGGGAAGGCCCAGACAGCCAGGAUGUUGGCUUAGAAGCAGCCAUCAUUUAAAGAAAGCGUAAUAGCUCACUGGUCGAGUCGGCCUGCGCGGAAGAUGUAACGGGGCUAAACCAUGCACCGAAGCUGCGGCAGCGACGCUUAUGCGUUGUUGGGUAGGGGAGCGUUCUGUAAGCCUGCGAAGGUGUGCUGUGAGGCAUGCUGGAGGUAUCAGAAGUGCGAAUGCUGACAUAAGUAACGAUAAAGCGGGUGAAAAGCCCGCUCGCCGGAAGACCAAGGGUUCCUGUCCAACGUUAAUCGGGGCAGGGUGAGUCGACCCCUAAGGCGAGGCCGAAAGGCGUAGUCGAUGGGAAACAGGUUAAUAUUCCUGUACUUGGUGUUACUGCGAAGGGGGGACGGAGAAGGCUAUGUUGGCCGGGCGACGGUUGUCCCGGUUUAAGCGUGUAGGCUGGUUUUCCAGGCAAAUCCGGAAAAUCAAGGCUGAGGCGUGAUGACGAGGCACUACGGUGCUGAAGCAACAAAUGCCCUGCUUCCAGGAAAAGCCUCUAAGCAUCAGGUAACAUCAAAUCGUACCCCAAACCGACACAGGUGGUCAGGUAGAGAAUACCAAGGCGCUUGAGAGAACUCGGGUGAAGGAACUAGGCAAAAUGGUGCCGUAACUUCGGGAGAAGGCACGCUGAUAUGUAGGUGAAGCGACUUGCUCGUGGAGCUGAAAUCAGUCGAAGAUACCAGCUGGCUGCAACUGUUUAUUAAAAACACAGCACUGUGCAAACACGAAAGUGGACGUAUACGGUGUGACGCCUGCCCGGUGCCGGAAGGUUAAUUGAUGGGGUUAGCGCAAGCGAAGCUCUUGAUCGAAGCCCCGGUAAACGGCGGCCGUAACUAUAACGGUCCUAAGGUAGCGAAAUUCCUUGUCGGGUAAGUUCCGACCUGCACGAAUGGCGUAAUGAUGGCCAGGCUGUCUCCACCCGAGACUCAGUGAAAUUGAACUCGCUGUGAAGAUGCAGUGUACCCGCGGCAAGACGGAAAGACCCCGUGAACCUUUACUAUAGCUUGACACUGAACAUUGAGCCUUGAUGUGUAGGAUAGGUGGGAGGCUUUGAAGUGUGGACGCCAGUCUGCAUGGAGCCGACCUUGAAAUACCACCCUUUAAUGUUUGAUGUUCUAACGUUGACCCGUAAUCCGGGUUGCGGACAGUGUCUGGUGGGUAGUUUGACUGGGGCGGUCUCCUCCUAAAGAGUAACGGAGGAGCACGAAGGUUGGCUAAUCCUGGUCGGACAUCAGGAGGUUAGUGCAAUGGCAUAAGCCAGCUUGACUGCGAGCGUGACGGCGCGAGCAGGUGCGAAAGCAGGUCAUAGUGAUCCGGUGGUUCUGAAUGGAAGGGCCAUCGCUCAACGGAUAAAAGGUACUCCGGGGAUAACAGGCUGAUACCGCCCAAGAGUUCAUAUCGACGGCGGUGUUUGGCACCUCGAUGUCGGCUCAUCACAUCCUGGGGCUGAAGUAGGUCCCAAGGGUAUGGCUGUUCGCCAUUUAAAGUGGUACGCGAGCUGGGUUUAGAACGUCGUGAGACAGUUCGGUCCCUAUCUGCCGUGGGCGCUGGAGAACUGAGGGGGGCUGCUCCUAGUACGAGAGGACCGGAGUGGACGCAUCACUGGUGUUCGGGUUGUCAUGCCAAUGGCACUGCCCGGUAGCUAAAUGCGGAAGAGAUAAGUGCUGAAAGCAUCUAAGCACGAAACUUGCCCCGAGAUGAGUUCUCCCUGACUCCUUGAGAGUCCUGAAGGAACGUUGAAGACGACGACGUUGAUAGGCCGGGUGUGUAAGCGCAGCGAUGCGUUGAGCUAACCGGUACUAAUGAACCGUGAGGCUUAACCUU